AGUAAGGUAAGCUAAUCAAGCUAUUGGGCCCAUACCCCAAAUAUGUUGGUGAUUAAUCCCUCCCUUACUA
rnacentral:tRNA from 1 species